GUCUGACUCCAGUGAGCUGAAGAUCCAGUCAGUUAAAGUGUCCCAUUCUGCCACUUACUACUGUGCCUGCUGGGACUCCUCAACCCACAGCUCGAAUUUGGCUCUGGCACGACACUUUAUGUGACAGACAGCAAUCAACGAAAACCCAAAGUGACGGUGUACCCAGCGUCCAACUCUGAGUCGAAUGGGAAGACCACCCUGCUAUGUCUGGCUAGAGACAUGUUUCCAGACUUGGUCAAGAUCUCAUGGAAGAUUGAGGAUGCAAACGGCAGAAGAAUGGAGGUGUCCAAAGCAGAGACGGAACAGCUGGAGCAGAGGGAGGAAGGACAGACAACCAGUAUGAUCAUCAUUGAUAAAGAGAAGACGUACAGGAACAAAUACGUCUGUUCUGUGGAGCAUGAAUGGGGCGCUCAACAAUUUGACAUUCCAAAAGAUACUCCACCAACCUGCCCGUUCAGAAAUGACACGCAGGAGCCACUGACUCUGCAGUUUACCGAAGAUUCCUUCCAGUCAACGUGCAGUCUGAACCUGGCCUCUGUGGUUUACACAGUGAUGAUCGUGAAGAGCAUGGUGUACUGCUGUGGGCUCUCUCUCCUGCUGCACCACAGGAUUCUAGGAAGAGGACCCAGCACCUGAAGACCUCUAUGAGGAAAAUCAUUUAUGUGCUUUUUUACAUUGAUACAAUGUUGUUGUUUUUUUACAUUGAUCCAGCUUGCAUGACAUUUUCCUUGCCUAACACAGCCUGCUCAAAUUAACCAAGUUGAUCAAAAUAACCAUAUUAUUUUAGAUGAGGAUGGAUUUAAUUAUCGCUGCCUUUAUGAACAAAAUGUUGCAACAACAAUGGUUCUGUAAAUCAUUGUAAAAUACAUUUUUUACAGUUCCGUGCUGUUUUCUAUGAAUAAAGGUUACUUAAAACCCCCAAAA
rnacentral:lncRNA from 1 species